rnacentral:rRNA from 1 species
UACGAAGGGGGCUAGCGUUGCUCGGAAUCACUGGGCGUAAAGGGUGCGUAGGCGGGGCUUUAAGUCAGGGGUGAAAUCCUGGAGCUCAACUCCAGAACUGCCUUUGAUACUGAAGAUCUUGAGUUCGGGAGAGGUGAGUGGAACUGCGAGUGUAGAGGUGAAAUUCGUAGAUAUUCGCAAGAACACCAGAGGCGAAGGCGGGCUACUGGGCUGAUACUGACGCUGAUGCGCGAAAGCCAGGGGAGCAAACGGG